CGCCUGUUUAACAAAAACAUGUCUUUUUGAGUAUAAUUUAAAGUCUAACCUGCCCAAUGAGGAGUUAAAUGGCCGCGGUAAUUUGACCGUGCAAAGGUAGCAUAAUCAUUAGUUUUUUAAUUGAAAGCUGGUAUGAAUGGUUGGACGAGAGAAUGACUGUCUCAAUUUAAUUUAAUUAGAAUUUUAUUUUUAAGUAAAAAAGCUUAAAUAAUUUUAAAAGACGAGAAGACCCUAUAGAGUUUUAUAUUUAUUAUAAUAGGAUUAUUUUAGAAUUUAGUUUAUGAAUAUUAUUGUACGUAUUUUGUUGGGGCGACAGAAAAAUUAAAAGAACUUUUUUUUAUUUAAUACCAUUGAUAUAUGAAUUUAUGAUCCGUUAAUAGAACGAUUAUAAGAUUAAAUUACCUUAGGGAUAACAGCGUAAUUUUUUUUGAGAGUUCUAAUCGAAAAAAGAGUUUGCGACCUCGAUGUUGGAUUAAAAUUAACUUUUGGUGUAGGGGCUAAAAGGUUAGGUCUGUUCGACCUUUAAAAUUUUACAUGAUCUGAGUUCAAACCGGAG
rnacentral:rRNA from 1 species